rnacentral:rRNA from 1 species
UACGGAGGGGACUAGCGUUGUUCGGAAUUACUGGGCGUAAAGCGCACGUAGGCGGAUUUGUAAGUCAGGGGUGAAAUCCCGGGGCUCAACCUCGGAACUGCCUUUGAUACUGCAAAUCUCGAGUCCGGAAGAGGUGAGUGGAAUUCCUAGUGUAGAGGUGAAAUUCGUAGAUAUUAGGAAGAAACACCAGUGGCGAAGGCGGCUCACUGGUCCGGUACUGACGCUGAGGUGCGAAAGCGGUGGGGAGCAAACAGG